rnacentral:tRNA from 2 species
CGGUGUAGCUCAAUUGGCAGAGCAGCUGAUUUGUAAUCAGCCGGUUGCUGGUUCAAUUCCGGUCACCG